GGCUCAGGAUGAACGCUAGCGGCAGGCUUAAUACAUGCAAGUCGUGGGGCAGCAUGAGUAGCAAUACUUGAUGGCGACCGGCAAACGGGUGAGGAACACGUACACAACCUUCCUUCAAGCGGGGAAUAGCCCAGAGAAAUUUGGAUUAAUACCCCAUAAUAUAUUUGAUAAGGCAUCUUAUUAAUAUUAAAGCUUCGGCACUUGAUGAUGGGUGUGCGGCUGAUUAGAUAGUUGGCGGGGUAACGGCCCACCAAGUCUACGAUCAGUAGCUGAUGUGAGAGCAUGAUCAGCCACACGGGCACUGAGACACGGGCCCGACUCCUACGGGAGGCAGCAGUAAGGAAUAUUGGUCAAUGGAGGCAACUCUGAACCAGCCAUGCCGCGUGGAGGAUGAAGGUCCUCUGGAUUGUAAACUUCUUUAUAUGGGACGAAAAAGGCUUUCUAAGUCGUCUGACGGUACCAUAUGAAUAAGCACCGGCUAACUCCGUG
rnacentral:rRNA from 1 species